AGAGUAGCACUCACAAUAAUAUUGAUUCUCUUUGAGCUCGAAUGCAAGUCGCAAUGAAUUUCGUCAUUUUGUUGGCAUUAUUUUCUUGCAUAUUUGCUCGAAAUGUUUCCUUCACGGAUCCAGAUUGGCUAAAAUGGGUUAACAGGAACGCGACAACUAGUGAUCUUCAGAAGAUUGGGUCAAGGCUGUAUUAUAUUGAGUAUGAAGAAAAAUUGUUUUGGUGGGGAGCUCGGAUGGCAUGUCAUGAAAAACGUGGAAAUCUUCUAUAUUUCGGAGACUUGAAGGAAACGAAAGCUGUGCAAGAUCACUUGCAAAGUGGAGAACGAUAUUGGGUUGACUUAUUGUACAUGAGAGGUAAUAGAUUUUUGUCGUUGUCCACUGGAAAUCACAAGGGAAAGUUUCCAUUGUGGCAGAAAGGUGAACCGAAUACUGCUAAAGGGGCAAAACGCUGCGCUUAUGGGCAAGUGAAUAAUGGAGAAUUUCGUUUAUACGUCGAGUCAUGUAUAAAUGAGUAUUUAUUUAUUUGUGAAAUUACAACUCCUGAGCCAAGAAGACGAGAUUGUCUACGAGGAUAAAAUACAUACAUACAUACAUACAAACAAACAAACAAACAUACAUACAUACAUACAAAUAUACAUAUGUUCAUUUAUAUAUACCUAUAAAUAAAAUAAAGAUUGAUAAUUAUAUAUAAUUCAUAAUAUAGACAUAACAUACAUAAUAAAUAUGUAUAUAAUUCAUUAUACAGACAUUUCUGUAUAUAAGCUGAUAGCAAGACAGAGUCGCAAGCAUAACGAUAUUGAGUCUCUUUGAGUUCGAGUGCAAAUCGCAAUGAAUUUCAUCAUUUUGUUGGCUUUAUUUUCUUGAAUAUUUGUUUGAAAUGUUUCCUCAAUGAUUUCAGAAUGGCAAGAUAAGACACAAUUUACUUGUAUGAAAUUGAAUUAUUUAUAACACUUACAUUUAAGAUAGGCUUGACAGGCAAAUAAACGAGACAUCUGUUGAUCUUCUCACUGAAUCGAAUUCAUAUUUUACUUGCAAGUUUUCG